GGCCGGGAGCGUAGAGAAGGGUGGUGCCGGUGCCGGAAGCUGUUUUCGGGGCCUUUGACGGAUCAUUUCCCGGAGCAGUCGGAGCUGGAGCUGGUUCCGGGAGCCGCAGUUUUUUCCUGCUUGUAAACGGGAAAUCCUUGCUGUUGAUUGAAGGUGAAUGUUAGCAUUUACCUCCUUCAUCCCCAAGCUUUCAAUCUCCUCACUCCGAAUUUGUGUCGAACUUUGCUUCACAUCAGACCUGCGAAAAGAUUUGAAAGAUUUUACUUUAGAACCCCCAUGUCAAUGUAUGCCUGCCUCUGACAUGCCCUCCUAUACUCAUCAUUGAACCAAGGUUAUCCCUUCAAGUUACAGGUACUGUUCAGAAGAGGACCGGAGGCAACAAACGCCUGAUAGCUUUUUGUUCACGUUUCUAAGGAGGCUGCUUUUGUUAUG